rnacentral:misc_RNA from 1 species
GAUGAAGAACGUAGCGAAAUGCGAUAAGUAAUGUGAAUUGCAGAAUUCAGUGAAUCAUCGAAUCUUUGAACGCACAUUGCGCCCGCCAGUAUUCUGGCGGGCAUGCCUGUUCGAGCGUCAUUUCAACCCUCAAGCCCAGCUUGGUGUUGGGGAUCGGCACAGGCGCCCUCGGGCGCCAGCCGUCCCCUAAAUCUAGUGGCGGUCCCGCUGCAGCCUCCUCUGCGUAGUAGUUUUCUCCUCGCAAGGGCAGCUCGGUGGCGACCUCGCCGUAAAACCCCCAACUUCUGAAAGGUUGACCUCGAAUCAGGUAGGAAUACCCGCUGAACUUAAGCAUAUCAAUAAGCGGAUGA